UACAGGGGGGGCAAGCGUUGUUCGGAAUUAUUGGGCGUAAAGGGCGCGUAGGCGGCGAUUCAAGUGACGGGUGAAAUCCCUCGGCUUAACCGAGGAACUGCCUGUCAGACUGGAUUGCUUGAGGCCGGGAGAGGCGAGUGGAAUUCCCAGUGUAGCGGUGAAAUGCGUAGAUAUUGGGAGGAACACCAGUGGCGAAGGCGGCUCGCUGGACCGGUUCUGACGCUGAGGCGCGAAAGCGUGGGGAGCAAACAGG
rnacentral:rRNA from 1 species